AUACUGAUUUCGAUCUGGCUGUGACAUCUGUCACCCCAUUGAUCGCCAGGGUUGAUUCGGCUGAUCUGGCUGGCUAGGCGGGUGUCCCCUUCCUCCCUCACCGCUCCAUGUGCGUCCUUCCCAAAGCUGCGCGCUCAGUCGAAGAGGACGACCUUCCCCGAAUAGAGGAGGACCGGUCUUCGGUCAAGGGUAUACGAGUAGCUGCGCUCCCUUGCUAGAACCUCCAAACAAGCUCUUAAUUAUUUUUCUAAUCUCAUUCUGUUUCUUCUUUUACAUCUUAGAGUUUCCUUUAGAAAAAGAAUUCACUUUUUAAAUUUAAUUUAAUACACUGAAGUCUGUAUUAACAU
rnacentral:snRNA from 1 species